rnacentral:lncRNA from 1 species
UUUUUUUUUUUUUAAGUAAAGGGUUGCCCUCAAGCCUUCGAUAAUAAAACAGUCGAAUAUAAAAGAUGGGUACGUAAAGCCUAAAAUCUAUGAUUACAGUAAGCAUUAAGAAGUAGUCCCGAGAUAAUAUUGAGAGACACUAAAAAGUACAUGUAUUCUAAUGACAAAUUUAUUUGAUUUGUUACGGUGGUGACACAGUAGAAGGAUCACUCGAUAUGAAAAUUUUGACAUAAAAACAUUACCAAACGUCAUCUGACUUUUUUUUUUUCUAACACGUGUCUCUCUUUUACAGCCGCAAGAAAGCCCUAUUUCCCGCCUAAAUCCUAUUGCCGUACGCUUUAACGGACGUUAGGAUUCCGAAACCAAAGUUUGUCAACUUUAAUGCGGGUCCUAACCAAAAUCAAGACUCUUUUAAGACCCUUCGUCUCCUAAAAGACUGAACCUUCAUUUUUCUCCUGGGCGAGCUCAUAGAACACCAAGACUGGGCGAUCAAAGGUUUCGGUUUUUCAAUUAUGGUGACGACAAAGCUUGUUGGUGCUUUUGCUACUGAGUUAGUAAAUUUAACUCUGAUUGCUUCAAUUAAUUUGUACUUUAGGUUUUCAUUUAGCUAGUAACUCUAUGUACGAAUUCACAUGAAGUAAAUCACCUAUGCCCAUUUACCCAAUGCCAACCCUUGCCGCGAAUAAAACUUUGACACAUAAUCACUGACUUAACACCUUAGUAACUCUGUUAACUUUACUAAAAAAACAAAUAAUAAACUCUUAAGAAAAUUAUCUUUGCCAUAAAGCCACCAUCAAAUCUCGUUCCUCAUUUUUUUCUUCUCUUCUUCUUCGACGAUUAUUCUUCUUUCCUCCGCCGGACAUGGCCGCCUUCAACAUCCACCUUAAUUGGCAGGACCGGUCCUGAGUAAUAGGAGACCCUGUGCAAACUUUUAAAUGUGGCCCUAUUUUUAUUUUAUUUUUAGUUACAAAUGUGGCUCUAUUUUUUGUAACAUGGUUGAUCGCAAGUAAGAAAAAAUAUAGAGUAAAUGAAUGGUUGCAAAAAGAAAAAAAAAAAAAAAGUGAAAAUCUGAAGAUUGAAGAAACUGUGUCUGCAUAAGUGAAAAUCUAAACACAUCAGAGAUGAAACUGCAAAAUAGUACUACCAAUAUAUUAAAUAGGAAUCUUGUACAUUACAUCUGCAUUCCUACGAACAUAUAUACACAUUUGCCAUUCUCAAACCACCUAAGUUAGUGUUCCUCUCUUCCAUAUGAACUGAUGAACAUUAAUUGAACAAUCAACAAAUUCUACUCUCUCAAACCCCAAUUACAUAACAGGCACAAAGCUAGGCUGCUUAGUAAUCAAAACUAUUGAUGCUAAAACAUGGAGGGAAUAUCAGCAACAUUAAAGCAGCAAUUCUUUGGCCAAGCUAGCUAUAUGAACUUUGUUGAAACGAACUAACACAUCCAUGAUCCAUAUCAUUCUAUCAAAGACUUGUAUUAUACAAGUUGUAUAUAAAUAUAAGUAUAUUCAUUCAUGAUUUCUAGUUAGCUAGCUCAUUAUGGUGUUCAACUGAUCAUCAAUUCAUCAUCAAGAUACUGGUAUGGCUUCACACACCAAUUAAUUGAUCCCAAUUCGGAAAUUCCCUAAUGAAAGGUAAAAACAGUAGAACAACUUUGAAAAAACCAAAAGAAAUUAACAUUAAAGAAAGAAAUAUGAGAUUACCUUUGUGAAUUGUAUAUCAAUAUCCAACACCCAAUUGCUUUUAACGAAGUUUGAUAAUCAAAUUAGGAGUUAGGGUUUUUUUUUUUUGCUUUUUUGGGGAUAUGAAAUUGGUUUUAGAGAGAAUAUGGGGAUAUGGGAAGACGAGGAGAGAAGAUAUGCGCAAGAAAAGAGAGAGUGAAAACGCCAAAAAAAUUAAGAGGCUGGAGGCCUCAAACCUAGGUUGUGCACAACAAACAAAAAACCUUAACCAACUCUGCUGUGUAUAUUUUUGUUGAUACAUCUACCUUUCUGCUAUAUAUUAUUCUUAUAUAAUAUAUUUUUUUUGGAGGCCCCUGAAAAUCGGAGGCCUUGUGCGACCGCAUACAUCGCAUAGUUCAAAGGCCGCCCCUGUUAAUUGGGUGCCCUCAUCAGUUCAAAUAAACCCUAAAUCCAAGCCGCUGAGCGAACACGACGGCGACUAUUCAACAUGUUAUAGCUUUUGGGUAAUCGAUCUUUUACACAUGAGAUUCCAAGUAAUGUAUUUUCAAUUUACUGGUUGUAAGGAAAUCAAAUCUUCAGGUUUCUUGGGUUUUUCAGUGGGACAUCGAAUUGUUGGUAUCCAGGGUUAUAAGGAAACAAUCUAUUUUGUAUAACAAUACUUUAGGUUUUGAUCCAUCUCUUUUGCCUCCACUUGGUCUAAAAUUAGAUUGUGAUUGAAACCUGGACUUCUUUAGCAAUAAUUUGUAAUCAUGUUUCUGAAUUUCUUAAUCAAAAAGACUUGGUUUUUCCUAUUGUUGGUGAGGGCCUUGAGUAUAAUCAAUAAUUUAGUAUGAUCUGGGUAUUUAGAGAUAGAAGCAAGGAAUGAAAUGAAAUUGCGUUUUGAUUCAUUGAAUACCAUGGCUGAAGUGUGAAGGAUUUUCCAGAAAGAAGGUGAAGACUAAAGAACGAAGCAGAUGGCGAAUAAAUUCUCUCUUAAUGUUACAAAUGAUAUAACUUAAGAGCAACUUUAGCAGACUCUUUAUUUUAGCUUUUAGCUAUUUUAGAGAGCGUGUUUAGGUUUUUAGGAUGUUUUAAGAGCUCCAACAGACUAGCCAAAUUUAAGCUUAUAACUUUUAGCUAUCUCGCUAGCUAAAUAUAGCUAGCGAGAUAACUCAAAUGAGGCUAGCUAUAAUUUAUUACAUUCCACUAGGCCAUAUACAUCAUCAGACGACACUUUUCAGAUGACAUAUUUUGGACGAUUUUGAGUUUGUGUCGUCUGAUUAAUUUUUCGACCCUUCAGACGACAUUUGUAAAGUAUAAGUUGUAUGAGUGCCAUGCUCUCUUCAUACUUCUGGAUGUUGCUCAAUUUGUCUGUGAUAUGCAAAAUUUCAGACGGCAUAUAUAUGCAGUUUAAAAAAGCAACAUUUAGCAACUUUAUGGUAAUACGUCGGACAACAUAUAAAAGUUGUAUGUGAAAGAAUGCGAAAUCUAUUUUUAAUCCCUUUUUUAUGUACUUCAUCCAACAACAUAUUAAUGUCAUCUGAAACAACCAUAAAUAUUUGAUUUAUACCUCCAUUUUGAACCCUUAAAUUCACUUAUUCACACGACAAACAAAUGAUGUCUAACAAACCCAUAAAAUUGAGUGUACGAACCUUGUAAUGUAUAAUUUCAGACGACAUAUGAAAAUGGUCUCUCUGACCCUAAAAUACUCAAUUUAUAAUUAAGAGUAAACUACAAAAAAAUACCCGAACUUUGAAACUCAUUUCAAAUAAAUACCUCAUCUUCAGAUUCUUUCAAAUAAAUACUCGAGCUAUGCAAAAUCCUACAAAGUCUCAAUUCCGUUACACAUUCCGUUAAACGAACCGUUAACUUGUCUACGUGGCAUGUAUGACGUGUCAAUUCCUAUUGACUGGACCUAUCAGCAAGGGUAUUUUAGACCACAGAAAAAUUAAUUCUUGCUAAACUCGUUAACCCUAAAUUGUCAGCCCUCUCCAUUGAUUUGCACGUUUUUCAUUUCCCCUCAAACAAAUUUGAGUAUUGCACUUUGCUCGGAUAUCACAAUAUUCAUUUGUCUCAUGGAUAAUUGCUAAGGUCAAAAUUGUUUCUAAUAGGAAUAAAAAAAAACUAGCUAAGAUCAGAAUCUAGGCCAACGACACUACAGUGCUGAGGGACUCAAAAUGAGAAUCAACUUAAUCAUAAAAGAACUUGAUUGCAUGUAAAGGAAGUCUUGUACGUAGCCAACUUGUUUUGACAACAUUAAAAAAAAAAUGCUCCAAAGCAUGUUCUCUAAUACAUCAAAGUCUGGAAAAUUUAAAGCAUAAUAAUACCCAUUGGUCAAGUCAAUAAGAAUUGACACGUCACACAUGCCACGUAGACAAGUUAACGGUUAGUAACAGAAUGUGUAACGAAAUUGAGAAUUUGUAGGAUUUUGCAUAGUUCGAGUAUUUAUUUGAAAUAAUCUGAAUAUGAGGUAUUUAUUUCAAAUGAGCUUCAAAGUUCGGAUAUUUUUUUUGUAGUUUACCCUAUAAUUAAAUAUUGAGUUUGGUUACCUUUUAUUGUAUUUAAUAAGAUGACAUAUAAAUGUCGUCUGUGGGAACCUGAUAUAUAAGUUUGAAAAAGGCUAGGGCUCAACCUAUUAAUCUAUUCAUCAGACGAGGUUAAUAUGUCGUAUGUAUGAACUUGAAAUAUUCAAUUCAUUUGAGUUUGGGAGAGGGUGCCAACCUUAAUGUAUUCAUCGCACAACAUAAAAAUGUCGUUUGGACUUGAAAUAUUUGAAUUUGGGCGCCGAAAUUUUCCCUCGCUUUUCUUCAAUGUGAGACGGUGAUUAUAUGUUGUCUAAUGUUGUAAAUAAGUGGUCAACAUAAAUUGUGCAUAUUUUCCAAACAGAAACGCUCUUAUCUUCUCCGACCAAAACUUAUAUUUUUGAUUAGCCGGUACUCAAACUCUUGUUAAGAGUAGGAAAACAGAUCUAUGUAAUAGUUUGGACACUUUGAUGAAACGUACUUCUCCUUGUGGAAGCUAUAAGAAAGUGUAUGUAUAUAUGAAGUUGACUCUAAUGAUCGAGACCUAUAAGUUAUCGAAAAUGGAUAAAUUUUCUUCCACAUACAUAUUUAAGUACUGCGAUCAUAUCCAACGGUCAGAUUAGGUAAAUUUUGUUUCUUGCAUAUAGUUGUCUUAUAAAGAUGUAUGUUUACAAAGCACUUAGUAAACAUAUGUUAUAGCACAUUAGUACGCACCGUUGUGAUUCAAAUGACGGAAAUAAUUUUUUUUCAAGUUUGAGUGUCAGAUGUCAACAUGAUAGUGAAUUAUGGGUGUAGAACAAAAUUCAAGCAUUUUCGAUAAAGUUCAGAUUUCGGUCGAUGCGGUCAACGUGAAUGGAAUCUUGCUUAGUAACUUCAGACGACAUAUAUAUGUUGUCUGAAAAAUACUUUUAAAAGUCAACACUUUUAUCUAAACGAAAACCCUCUUAUCUAGACCGACUAAUACUUAAUGUUGAGAUUCGUCAAUUCUUAUACCCUCAUUUAGUGUGAACGAAACUAUUUUAUGUGAACAUUUGGACACGUUUAUCAACCGAUCAUAUCGCUCCCCAUGAGGAAGAAUAGGAACGUUUUAUGUAUAAUUGAAGUUGACUCUAAUGAUCAAGACGUAUAAGAUAUCGAAAAUGGGUAAAUUUUCUUCCACAUACAUAUUUGAGUACUUCGAUCAUAUCCAACGGUCAUAUUAGGUAAAUUUUGUUUCUUGCAUAUAGUUCCUUUAUAAAGAUGUAUGUUUACAAAGAACUUGGUAAACAUGUUAUAACACAUUAGUACGCACGUUGUGAUUCAAAUGACGAAAAUAAAUUUUUUUCAAGUUUGAGUGUCAGAUGUCAUCAUGAUAGUGAAUUAUGGGUGUAGACAAAAUUCAUGCAUUUUUGAUAAAGUUCGGGUCUCGGUCGAUGCGGUCAACGUUAAUUGAGUCUUGCUUAGUCACUUCAAACGACAUAUAUAUGUCGUGUGACCAAUAUUUUUCAAAGUCAACACUUUGAUGACCAAAUUGAGUGUUUUGGUUAAUUUAAAAUAAUGAUUGGUAUUAGUUGGUCAACUCAGACAAUAGAUGUAUGUUGUCUGAUGAACACACCCUUUCCAAUUAGCUAGGUUACAAACCCUUUGCACGGUCAACCAAAGAUUGUCUGAUUUCAUUUUUACUAAGUGUCUAAACACACUCUUUCAUUUUCAGUAAGUGUCUGAAUGCCGCCUCUCUCUUUUUGUUUGAAACCCAUCCCUCUCUGUCUCGACCUCACCAUCUCUCUCGCAGUCACCAUCUCUCUAGACUUCACCAUCUCUCUCUCGACCUCACCAUCUCUCUCCCAGUCACCAUCUCUCUUGACCUCACCAUCUUUCUCUCUGUCUCUCUCGAACACAACAACAUGUUUUCUCUCUCAAUCAGGUAACCCAGUCUCUUUCUUAUAGAGUUAAUUUUAGGGCUCUAUAGAAUCUGGGGUUCGAAUUUUUUAGGUUUUCGAAUUGGGGGUUCUGAAUGUGAUUUUUUUAGGGUUUUGAAUUAGGGGUUCAAUUUNNNNNNNNNNNNNNNNNNNNUGAAGUGGUUAUCAGUUGAAGUGGAGGUAUCUAAAUUGAAGUAAGCCAGUUUGCUCAUUUGUUUAGCUUUUUAAUUAGAAUUCCUGUAUUUAUUAUUGUUCUGCUUGUGAUUGUUUAUCUUGUUUGUUCAAGUUGUUAAUAGUUGAAGUGUUUGUUACUGAUUUGAACUGAAAACACUAGACUUAAGCAUGACCUCGACUUGGGUAGCUGUUUCAGUCCUUUGCUCCAGUACCUAAGUGUUGUAGUUAUUUUUCUGUCUUUAUGCGCAUGUUGUGAUUGUGGUUAUUAUGAUGUUAGUACAAGUGUUUAUCUUGAUCCUCAAUUUAUUUUUAAUGAUUGUGAUUGGUUAUUAAACUAGUUAUUAUUCUAUUUUUACGUGUUUAUAUAAGAUGGACAAAACUUGGAUGCUCGCUGAUAGGAGAUCUUUGAGGUUUCAAACUGGGUUUGAAAAUUUCCUCAAAUUUGCGUCGGCAAAUGCUGCCGACAAAUCAAGCAUACGCUGCCCUUGUAUGAAGUGCUGUAAUCACAGUGGAUUUACCGUUGCUGUCAUCAAGGGCCAUGUAUAUUUUAAUGGCAUCAUGAUCAAUUACAAAAAUUGGGACUGUCAUGGUGAAGCUGCUGCCAUGGAGGGCGAUAGUGGCGGAGAGUCUGAAUCAGUAGAUAAACCGGAUGAUAUAGAGGGUGAAGAAAAUAAGGGUGAAGAAGAUGAGGAUGAGGAGAUGUCUUGUGACUCAGAUGAGUUCCUUAGGCUGGUAGAAGAUGGAGAUAAAGCUUUGUACCCUGGGUGUACAAAGUUGACAAAAUUGAACGCUCUUGUAGAAAUGUUCAAUUUGAAAGCAAAGCACGGAAUGACUGAUGGUUGUAUUUUCGACUGGCUAAUGUUGUUUGAGUCCUUCCUUCCCAAUGGGAAUGAAGUACCUUGCAAUAUAGGUGAGGCAAAGAAAACACUAGGUUUAUUGGGGAUGGGGUAUGAAAAAAUUCAUGCAUGUCCAAAUGAUGCAUUCUAUAUAGAGGGGACCAUCAUGAAGCUGAAGUAUGUCCAACAUGUACUACUUCGCGGUAUAAGAUUGGAAAGAACGGAGUUGUGAGGGAUGGGGUUGCUGCAAAGGUUUUGUGGUACUUCCCUAUAAUACCGAGAUUCAAAAGGAUGUUCCAAUCUCCAAGGACAGCUAAGUCCUUAACUUGGCAUGGCGAUAGGAAAAAAGAUGGCAUGAUGUGGCAUCCAGCUGAUUCACCGACUUGGAAAUUGGUUGACACACAGUGGCCAGAAUUUGGGAAAGAACCUAGGAAUCUUCGAUUAACCCUUUCGUUUGAUGGAUUUAAUCCUUACGUUGCUUUAAACAGCAAAUACUCUUGUUGGCCAGUUAUUCUGGUCACAUAUAACCUUCCUCCUUGGUUAUGCAUGAAGAGGAAGUUCAUGAUGUUGUCCUUGUUGAUAUCUGGACCGAAACAGUCCGGGAAAGAUAUCGAUGUCUAUCUACAACCGUUAAUAGACGAUUUAAAGUUACUGUGGCAGGGGGUUGAAGGUCUGUAUGACUCUGUGAGAGAAGAGACCUUUACAUUGAAGGCAGUCCUAUUUUGGACUAUAAAUGACUUUCCUGCGUAUGGGAACCUUUCGGGUAGUGUCACCAAAGGAUCACUACCAGAAGAAAGACUUUAGCCGACGAAAAUAAAAAAACCAGGCCGACGAAUUAUUUUUUCGUCGGCUAAUUAAAAAUUUUCGUCGGCUAUGGUCAACUUUAGCCGACGAAAUUAAAAUUUCGUCGUUUAAAUAAUUUUUUUCGUUGGCUAUAGUCUGUGAACUUUAGUCGACGAAAUUUUUAAAAGUUUAGCCGACGAAAAAUAUAAUUUCGUCGGCUAAAUUGCCUUAAUUUCGUCGGCUAAAGUGCCUUAUAUUUACAGAUCUGGACAACAACUCAUCUGGGAAAAAAAAACUAUACGUAGAACCUUCAAACGCAAAAAAAUUCGUGAAAUAAGAUAUGACCAGAAUGGUGAAAUACGUCUACAGUUGAAAAAUCACAAUAUUCCGGUAAAGUCUCGGUUCCGAUAGUUGCAGUCAAUGCAAUUUACCCUUAUUAUUCACUAUGCUGCAGAUUUGGUUUUUGGUGUCCGAUUGACUAUUGUGAUACCUUUCCGGAAGCGUAACGGCCCUACGAGUCAAACUCAUGGCUAAUGCCAUGAUGUAUGGACCGUUUAGGGCUUCACAAUGUAGUUUUCUUAUUUCCGAUUAGAGUUGACCGUUUCGGUCGAGCCCUUAACGUUGUCGAAUCCAGUUGAAUUUUUUACCAUAGACAUCUUUCGUCAUAAUGAUCAUAUCGGACGGUCGAAUUUUGGUUUGUAAAUUUUAGUCAUCGGAAUCACAACGUGUCUACUAUUUACUGUUAUUGGGGAGCCCUAUCGUUGGAAGGUAAAUGUCUCAAAAUUUUUAUAUGGGCAGUUGCGUCUCAUCUACGUGAGAGUUUUUUGUGUGGAAGGUUUGACCAAACUACGUAAUAUAGAGGGAGAUAUGAGCAUUUUCGUGAAUUUAUAGACUUUAGCCGACAAGAUAUUAAAAAAGUCGUCGGCUAAGGUCAAAAAUUUUUGGGCGGUAAACCAAAUUUGGAGGAAAAUUUUCAAAGGACUUGAGCCGACUAAACUAUAUGAAAAGUCGUCGGCUAAAGUCGAAAAAUUUUCAAAAUUUUUUGGCGGUCAACCAAAAUUUUCAAAAUUUUCAAAAGUUUCAAAAGAGUUUAGCCGACGAAAAUAAAGAAUUUCAUCGGCUAAAGUUCUUUAUAUAGGAGUUUUACCGAAGGUGGAUGGUAAGAAGUCUAUUUCGCCUGCCAGAUUUUUUUCUCGGCCUAGCUCCGUCAUCAAGCCACCGGAGACCGCUACACUUGUCCCAAAAGCUUCGCCGUCGUCUCUACUUCAUUGCUGGACAGGUGGUGCAUCGAGUGGCGCCGCCGUGAGAGAUAAAUCGAGCUCCAAAACUCUGCUGGUUCGGAUUCGGUGUCGAUCGAAUUUCUCCUUCCUCAGGUCACCAUUUGGUGAGUUCUAUAUAUCGAUAAGUUGAGUUUGAUUAGUACUACAUUCCCCUAGAAUUUGGUAGCUCGAUUCGGUGUGUGUGAGGAGAAUCGAAGAUUUGAAGUUUUUAGGGUUUAAAAUUGGGGAUUUUUAUAUUUUGAUUCGAUUGACCUGUUUAGGCUUAGAAUUGGGCUUCGACUUCUUCUAGAAAGUUGUACGAAAUGUUGAGAGGAAGAUUCUGUCAAAUUUUGGUGGUGAUUGGAGGUGGCCGAAAGUUUCUGCAGUUUUUUUUUUCAAAAACCAGCAACUUUAGCUGACGAUAUUUAAAGGUUUAUUCGUCGGCUAUAGUAUUUUUAAAUUUUUUUUAUAAGGUUUAGCCGACGAAUUAUGGCAUAUUUCGUCGACGAUAUUUAAAGGUUUAUUCGUCGGCUAUGGUUAUUUUUAAAAUUUUUUUAUAAGGUUUAGCCGACGAAACAAAUUAUAUUUCGUCGGCUAUAGUUAUUUUUAAAAUUUUUUAGAAGGUUUAGCCGACGAAACAUACUAUAUUUUGUCGGCUAUAGUCUGGGAAAAAAUUUUUAUUACAGACUUUAGCCGACGAAUAUCUUAAUUGUUUCGUCGGCUAAAGUAUGGGAAAAAAACCGACGACAUGUUUUUCGUCGACUAAACUGCAAGACUAUAGCCGACGAAAUUUUUUUUUUCGUCGGCUAAAGUCAUCACAGACGACCUUUUCCCGACGAAAUCUUAGCCGACGAUGGCUCGUCGGCUAAGAUCUUAGCCGAUGAAUUGGCCGACGAAAAUUUUUCGUCGGCUAAAGUGCUUGUCCUGGUAGUGGAGAUAAUGCUUGUCCUAUCUGUGUUGAUGAAACCAAACCCAUUAGGAUGAAACAUUGUAAGAAAAUGGUGUUUUUGAAGAAUCGCCGAUUCUUGCGUAGGAAUCAUCCAUAUCGAAAGCAGGCUGCAGCAUUUGACAACAUGAUUGAGAAUGAAGUCGCCCCUGAACCAUUAAGUGGAGAAGAGGUUCUGGCAAUGGGUUGAAGGAUUGCCUCGUGAAUUUGGAAAAACUCAAAAGCCUGCUAAGCGAGGUGAUCAACCCAGACCUUGCUGGAAAAAAAAAAAGCAUGUUCUUUGAACUUGAAUACUGGAAAUAUAUUCUAGUACGCCAUAUUCUUGAUGUGAUGCACAUUGAGAAGAAUUGUUGCGAUGCCAUAAUUGGGACCCUAUUGAAUAUUCCUGGUAAGACAAAGGAUGGAGCUGCUUGUCGUUUGGACAUGGUGGAUAUGGGCAUCAAAACUGACUUGAAAGUGGUAGCUGGGGAGAAAAAGGCCAAGUUGCCUUUGGCUAGUUGGAAUUUGCUGCAUCAUGAGAAAAAAAUAGUCUGCAGAUCCUUUUUUGGAAUGUCAGUUCCUACACGCUUCUCCUCAAAUAUUAGUAAUCUGGUCUCCAUGGAAGAUUUAAAACUGGUCGGUCUUAAGUCACAUGACUGCCACACAGUGAUGCAGUAUCUACUCCCCGUUGCAUUAAGAUCAGUUCUAGAGAAGCCUGUUAGGUAUGCCAUUAUUCGGUUUUGCCUGUUUUUUAAGGCAAUUUGUAGUAAAGUCAUAAAUGUUUCUAGACUUAAACAAAUGCAAGCAGAUCUGGUUGAUACUGUUUGUUUGCUUGAAAAAUUCUUCCCACCUUCAUUUUUCGACAUUAUGAUUCAUCUAACAGUACAUCUUGUUAGAGAAGUUGAAUCGUGUGGCCCUGUGUUUUUCCGAUGGAUGUUCCCAUUCGGGAGGUACAUGAAAGUACUCAAAGGGUAUGUUAAAAAUCGACAUUUUCCUGAGGGCUGCAUGUCUGAGAAGUAUAUUGUUGAAGAAGCUGUAGAGUAUUUAGAAGAGCGUAUCCAUUCUGAAGGUGGUAUCACUGUGGGAAUUCCAUCGACAAGCAAAGCUGGAAACUACAAACAGAGCAGGCCCUUAUCACGGCCAACUAUCAUAUCUGUGUACGGAAAGCUGAUGCAUCUUGCACACCUUUGUGUCUUACAAAAUACUGAAGACGUCCAGCCCUACAUCAAGUAAGUGUAUACAUCAGCCUUUUUUAUUUUUUUAUAUUUCAAUACCCUUUAACCUUAAAGUUUUUCAGAGCUUAAUGGUUUUCCUUGUUCUUCGGUCUAGGGAGCACAAUGAAUAUUUGGAGUUGAUUUACCCAAAUAACGUGAAGAACAAGAAGUGGAUGAGGGAAAAACAUAAUGCAACAUUUCCAGACUAGUUAAAAGAAAGGGUAAGUGAAAUUAUAUACUAUGUGAUGGUACAAGUGUUAUUUUACAAAAAUUGAAAAUGUAUGUCACAUAGGCUUCCUCCUUUUUUAAUGAACAAUCGUUGUGGCAGGUUGCAAAUCAAUUGAGGCUGAAAUCCGAUAAAGUUUCACAAACAUUAAGGUGGAUGGCUGCUGGUCCCAAAAAUCAAGUGCCAACCUAUGCUGCUUACCAUGUCAAUGGAGUUGACUACAACACCAAAGAGAGAGACAGCGUUCGAUCAUUUCAAAACAGCAGUGUAACAUUGCUUGCCAAUGCAAUGCAAGUUGCAAGUGCGAGGGAUCAAAAUCCAUCCGACGGUGCUAUGGACUUCUAUGGAGUUAUUAGAAGUAUAUGGGAGGUGGACUACUAUAAGUUUAGGGUUCCUGUGUUCCACUGUGAUUGGGUAGAGAGUACUAGAGCCGUCAAAGUAGAAGAACUUGGGUUUAUGUUGGUGAAACUGAAUAGGUUAGGGCAUUUAAAUGAUCCUUUUGUGUUAGCUACACAUGUGAAACAAAUAUUUUAUAUUGAGGAUCCCCUAAAUGCGGAAUGGUCAGUAGUCGUGAGGUGCCCGGAUAUAGACUACCAUGGGGUUGAUGAUGACGAUGAGGUUGAAGACACAGAUGAACAAGCGUUCAUUCCAGCAAUGUAUGCCAUCAGUUGACACAUUUGAUGAUGUAGAUGAGAAUCACCCUACCAGACAUAUGCGUGACGGCAAUGAAGGAAUAUGGAUAGAUAAUAGUAGCUUACCUGGUCAUGUUAAUAGUGAAUUUGAAGGCAAUGAAUGGAAUGCUAGCUAAUAUGACUGUAAUCUUUAUAUAAUUGAAGUUAUUAGAACAACAGUCUGAUGUUUUGUUGGAUGUUUUGUUUGAAAUGUGAUUGAUAUAUUUUCUUUUAACACAUAACAUUGUUGCCUUAAUUAUGAAGAGUGUUUUUCUGUAUUGUCCUAUUUUUCUCGACAUUAUUGUUCUUCUUUUUUAACCUCAGUAUGCUAGCUGACCAGUCUUUUUUAAAUGGGUUUCAGUUAAUGGCACCAGCAAGGAAAGGUCUUAACUCUUUAGGUUCAAAGAAGGGACAAAAAAAAGGGGCAACUGCAGAAGUUAUUGCUUCCAGAAUCAAGGCGACGUGACAAAAGCCGGCUAUAGCUUCUGAUAGUAUUCCAGCAGCGUCUACUUCUGCACAAAAGAAUGCAGCUGAUAUUGCUAGAAGAAUCGAUUCUGUGCGACAACUGAAGAAGGCUACAGUUUCUGGUACAGCAACCUUGAAUUCUGGGCAGACUUUACGUACUUCUCCUCAAGCGGAUGCCACCCUUGAGAAAAAUGCAACUCCAAGUGAUGAAGUAGUGUCAACCCCGAAGAAGAUGAAGUAUAGCCGGAAGGCCAAGUCCAGUUCAGUUUCAACCANNNNNNNNNNNNNNNNNNNNNNNNNNNNNNNNNNNNNNNNNNNNNNNNNNNNNNNNNNNNNNNNNNNNNNNNNNNNNNNNNNNNNNNNNNNNNNNNNNNNNNNNNNNNNNNNNNNNNNNNNNNNNNNNNNNNNNNNNNNNNNNNNNNNNNNNNNNNNNNNNNNNNNNNNNNNNNNNNNNNNNNNNNNNNNNNNNNNNNNNNNNNNNNNNNNNNNNNNNNNNNNNNNNNNNNNNNNNNNNNNNNNNNNNNNNNNNNNNNNNNNNNNNNNNNNNNNNNNNNNNNNNNNNNNNNNNNNNNNNNNNNNNNNNNNNNNNNNNNNNNNNNNNNNNNNNNNNNNNNNNNNNNNNNNNNNNNNNNNNNNNNNNNNNNNNNNNNNNNNNNNNNNNNNNNNNNNNNNNNNNNNNNNNNNNNNNNNNNNNNNNNNNNNNNNNNNNNNNNNUUUUUUUUUCAUCGACUUAAUGAGUUACAUAGGUCUUGACUAUUAUUUUUCUGGUAAUUUCAGUAAAAAUAGCAUUAGUUAUAGGUCUUGACUAUUAUUUUUCUCUUGUUUUAUGUAAGAGGCUUAUGUGAUCCCUCAGCAAUGUAGAAGAUUUGUCCUUAAAUCUGCUUCAACCAAAUGGUAGGAAUUCAAGAGCACACUGACCACUCACUACGUUAUGCCAUUCAAGGACAGUCUUGAGAAGUUGGAAAAUCCUCUUGAUGAUUAUAGAUGCAUCCCCAAGCUGCAUUGGUCGCUUUUUGUGGAAGAUAAGAUUAGUGAAGAAUUUAAGGUUUGUGAACAUGUUUUUAUGUCCACCUUGUUGUUUAAGAUGGCUUACAACCAAUAAGAUGUUAACAUUGUGGUUCUUGAAUUCUAUGCUUCGCAGGAACUGCGAGGAGUUCAAAGUGCAAAGAGAAAUCUUAACAAGUACAAUCACAGGAUGUCACGUAAAGGAUAUGCUCAAUCAAGAGUGGAAUUGGUAAGCUUUGGUUGAUCACAAAUAUUUUUUCCUUAAUCAAAAUGUGUUCUACUUCUAACAUGAUUAUGCUUUGUUAUAUUGUUGCAGGCUAAGAAGCUGGGAGUCCCAAUUGAGAUGCUGGACCGUGCCAGAAUGUGGCUGAAUGCACAUUCUGACAAGGAUGGUAACUUCUCAUCACCUGAGGUGGUGAACACGGCCAAAAGGAUUGUAAGUCCUGUUAGAAUCACUCAGUAAUUUACCAUUGUUCAAGGACUAUGAAAAUUAAUAUUAAUUGUUUUAUGUUGUAUGUUUAAUGUUAGGAAAAUGCUAGAGAUCUAAAAUAAUUUUACCAAAUAUCAGACCAAAUGAUGUGGCAUGUGCCAUAUCAUCAAACAUUUUAAGCAUGUAUAUUCUUAUUUUAUUUCUUUUGUUUAAAAUAAAAAUAUCAGUAAUUAAAAUUUAUUAUUAUAUGAUUAGAAAUAAUUGUAUAUGAUUAACAAGAACCAAAGGAAGAAAGAACCCUAAUCCAACCCUUUCAAUUGUGGAGACUUUACGAAAAAGCCAUCAGCCAAAACUAGAACAACAAAAUACAAAAUCAUGUAUGGCUUGCAUUGGUUCAUUAGUUCAUUGGUAAUCGAAUUAUGAUCUAUUCUAUAAGUCUCGUUCAAGUUCCAUUUUCUAUCUACCUUGAUCAAAUCAAAACAUACGUCAUGUGGAACUUAACUGAAGGAGAAGUAUAUUGGAUCAUUGAAUUGGCCAAAAAUAGAAAAUCAAUCAUACGAUAUAUCAAUUUGUUAUAUUGAAUGACACCAACAUAUAGUAGUGGUGUGGUAGGAUAAUCAAUGAGGUUUUGCAAUAUAGGAAUAGACAUAUACAGUACGUGAUGGAGUUAUGAUGUUUUUCAAUUGAAAGCCAUAUCCAUCUUUACUGGAUUUCAUAUGAAUUUAACAAGAGUUCUUAUAUUGAGGGAGAAAGAAAUAGAUGUAUUAUUCUACAUGCAACCUGCUGGAUUUGAUACAAGUUUUUCACGCUAGUAUCAAUGUUGAUUAUGCAGAUCAUUUGGUUUGUUGUUCUUGUCUGAAGGAACUACGGCGGCUGUAGACUUGGUUGUUUGGUGAACCGUUUGUGUUUUCUUCUUUAAAUAUUUUGCUAAUUAAUUGGUUUCUAAAUAAAAUCAAUGAAAUUGCUGGAAAUUAUUAAAUUAGAUGUCAUGACACAUAAACGCCAAAUCAGAGGCCACGUCAUUUUGUAUUAAGUUUUGGUAUAAUUUUUUGGUGUCUGUAGCAGUGCUCUUAAUGUUAAGCUUUUGUUUCAGGAAACCUUAAAAAAACAAGAAUCUGAGGGAUCACUUACCACAGUUGGGUCGACAGAUGUCCUCACCUUAGCACUGAAGAAACCAGAACAUCCCGGUAGGGUAAGAGGAGUUGGGGGUUUUGUUCGACCUAAUGUCGUCUUCGACUUGCCAAUAAAGCGAAAAAGAGGUGGUGGUUCUCAGGCAACCAGGAAAAGUAUAAGGCUUAUAUUGGAGGAGGAGCAAGAGGAGUUUAUGGCAGAACAAAAAGCAAAAUGGGAGGUGGAAACUGAAAAAAAGAUACAGAAAAUUGAUGAAAAAUGGAAAGCUCAGUUUGAGUCACUGUUGGGAAGGUUGCAGUCUACGGGUGUGCAAAUCCCUACACCUGUCACACACUACCAGGACAAGCACUUUAGCCUGUUAGCUUAAUUCGUCGGCUAAGAUUUCGUCGGGAAAAGGUUGUCUGCGAUGACUUUAGCCGACGAAAAAAAAAAUUUCGUCGGCUAUAGUCCCACAGUUUAGCCGACGAAAAACAUGUCGUCGGUUUUUUUCCUAUACUUUAGCCGAUGAAAUAAUUAAGAUAUUCGUAGGCUAAACCAUAUAAAAAAAUAAAAAAAUAACUAUAGCCAACGAAAUAGACUAUAUUUCGUCGGCUAAACCUUAUAAAAAAAUUAAAAAAUAACUAUAGCCGACGAAAUAUAGUUUAUUUCGUCAGCUAAACCUUAUAAAAAAGAAUUAAAAAUAACUAUAGCCGACGAAACAUGCCAUAUUAUGUCGGCUAAACCUUAUAAAAAAAUUAAAAAAUACUAUAGCCGACGAAUAUAGUAUUUAAAUAUCGUCGGCUAAAAUUGCUGGUUUUUGAAAAAAAAACUGCAGAAACUUCCGGCCACCUCCAAUCACUACCAAAAUUUGACAGAAUCUUCCUCUCAACAUUUCGAACAACUUUCUAGAAGAAGUCGAAGCCCAAUUCUAAGCCUAAACAGGUCAAUUGAAUCAAAAUAUAAAAAUCCCCAAUUUUAAACCCUAAAAACUUCAAAUCUUCGAUUCUCCUUACACACACCAAAUCGAGCUACCAAAUUCUAGGGGAAUGUAGUACUAAUCAAACUCAACUUAUCCAUAUAUAGAACUCACUAAAUGGUGACCUGAGGAAGGAGAAAUUCGAUCGACACCGAAUCCGAACCCGCGGAGUUUUGGAGCUCGAAUUAUCCCUCACGGCGGCGCCACUCGAUGCACCACCUGUCCAGCAAUGAAGUAGAGACGAAGGCGAAGCUUUUGGGACAAGUGUGGCAGUCUCCGGUGGCUUGACGGUGGAGCUAGGCCGAGAAGAAAAUCUGGCAGGCGAAAUAGACUUCUUACCAUCCACCAUCGGUAAAACUCCUAUAUAAAGAACUUUAGCCGACGAAAUUCUUUAUUUUCGUCGGCUAAACUUUUUUGAAAAUUUUGGUUGACCGCCAAAAAAUUUUGGUUGAAAAUUUUUCGACUUUAGCCGACGACUUUUCAUAUAUUUUCGUCGGCUAAAGUCCUUUGAAAAUUUUCCUCCAAAUUUGGUUUACCGCCCAAAAAUUUUUGACCUUAGCCGACGACUUUUUUAAUAUCUCGUCGGCUAAAGUCUAUAAAUUCACGAAAACGCUCAUAUCUCCCUCUAUAUUACGUAGUUUGGUCAAACCUUCCACACGAAAAACUUUCACGUAGAUGAGACGCAACCGCCUAUAUAAAAAUUUUGAGACAUUUGCCUUCCGACGAUAGGGCUCCCCAUAGGGAAUAAUAACGGUAAAUAGGGUUGACCGCUACUAUCGACACCGAGAAUUUACCCGAUUUACGUGAUUUUUGAACCAUAGCCGUAUUUCACCAUUCUGAACACAUCUUAUUUCACGAUAUUUUUGAUAAUUUUGCUUCCUAUAUAGAGUUGGUUCACAAAGUUGUAUAACCUACUAAACAAGUUAUACAACAUUAGUAGACACGUUGUGAUUCCGAUGACUAAAUUCACAAACCAAAAUUCAACCGUCAGAUAUGAUCAUUAUGACGAAAGAUGUCUAUGGUAAAAAAUUCAACUGGAUCCAACAACGUUAAGGACUCGAUCGAAACGGGUAACCCUAAUCCAUCGUCACUUAUCACACGAAAACGCUCAUAUCUCCCUCUAUAUUACGUGGUUUGGUCAAACCUUCCACACAAAAAACUCUCACGUAGAUGAGACGCAACUGCCCAUAUAAAAAUUUUGAGACAUUUACCUUCCGACGGUAGGGCUCCCCAAUAACGGUAAAUAGUAGACACGUUGUGAUUCCGAUGACUAAAAUUUACAAACCGAAAUUCGACCGUCCAAUAUGAUUAUUAUGACAAAAGAUGUCUAUGGUAAAAAAUUCAACUGGAUUCGACAACGUUAAGGGCUCGAUCGAAACGGUCAACUCUAAUCGGAAAUAAGAAAACUGCAUUUUGAAGCCCUAAACGGACUCGGAUGGCCAAAAAGGCCCAUACGUCAUGGCAAUAGCGAUGAGUUUAACUCAUAGGGCCGUUACGCUUCCGGAAAGGUAUCACAAUAGUCAAUCAGACACCAAAAACCAAAUCUGCAUUAUAGUGAAUAAUAAGGGUAAAUUGCAUUGACCGCAACUAUCGGCACCAAGACUUUACCGGAAUACCGUGAUUUUUCAACUGUAGACGUAUUUCACCAUUCUGGUCAUAUCUUAUUUCACGACUUUUUUGCGUUGAAGGGUCUACGUAUAGUUUUUUUUUCCAGAUGAGUUGUUGUCCAGAUCUGCAAAUAUAAGGCAUUUUAGCCGACGAAAUUAAGGCACUUUAGUCGACGAAAUUAUAUUUUUCGUCGGCUAAAGUUCAUAGACUAUAGCCGACGAAAAAAAUUAUUUAAACGACGAAAUUAAAAUUUCGUCGGCUAAAGUUGACCAUAGCUGACGAAAACUUUAGCCGACGAAAAAAUAAUUCGUCGGCCUGGUUUUUUUAUUUUCGUCGGCUAAAGUCUUUAUUCUGGUAGUGACACCAGUGAACGAACCCAAUUCAGGCAAUGGGAGCUGCAAUCCCAAUUUCGAGAAGGUUCAAAUGGCGACGAAAAUAAAUGUUGAGCUCAGCUCGGUCAAGAAGAGAUUGGAUUUAGAUGCUGAGAAGUUCGUGGAGGAUGCGAUUGACCCCCAUGAAGUACCUGACCCUAAGCAGAAUGAAGAAACAACAAUGGACUUGGAUGAGGUUACGGACUUUGCUCCAAAGGCUACAAAUUAUAUUACUCUGGUAAUUUAACUCUUUUCUCCUUUAACUCCUCUCUAUUUCCAUCAUUAGGCUUUACUGCCAGCUAUGAAUUAAACGAAUAAGAUUUAAGUAAUUUUUAUUUUUCCAUUGUUUGUGUUAGGAUUUGACUUGUGGUGAAAAUGAGUGUCGACUGGCAGUAGAUACAGUGGAAAAUAUAGUUGCCAUUGCAAAAGUCAUUGAUGUCGGUGGUGAGUCAAGCAAUCAGCUACUACAUGGUGUGCCAUUAGGCGAAAACAACGUGCGCGUUUCAGUUAUACGGGCUAUUGAAGGUGAUGCCCUGAUAUCGAUUCCAGUGAGGGAUGAGAUUUUAACCGUGGACGAUGCGGUUGGGAGCUGUGUUGCCUGGCCUAAGGACCUGGUUGUUACACAUGGAGCAAAAGCUGUUACUGCAACAACUGAAACAAAGGUACUGCAAUAUAUAUGUCUAAUGUACUUUAUUUAUGUGCAAUUAUAUUUGAGUUUUUUUUACAAUAGUUCUUGUUUUAAUUCCUCAUUUAAGUUGCUAACAUGCAUUUUCUCUUAAUUUUGCAAAACAAGAAACCAAAACGUGGUUAUGGCAGGAAGAAACCAAUUCAACGCAUUCAGGACAAUGAAGAUUUGGAUAAUUUGCCCCCGAAUCUGCCGAAGGCAUUGAUUGACUUAUGCAAUUGGGCAAACACUUUUCUUAAGGAAGGGAAGACAGUGAACACUGUGUUUCAAGUAGAUCUUUUUGGACAUCCAAAGAAAGAAUAUAUAUGCAAAGCUGAUGUUUACGCCAUCGCCCACAAGAAAGAAGUAUCGAACGGUGCUCUUUUCUUCUACAUGAGGUAAAUUAUUAUACUUGUUUACCGGUUCUUAUAUUUCAUAAUGGAUUAUGCGGCUGAAUUAUGAAGCAUGUUUCUUUGUUUAUUUUGAAGUAGUUAUAAUCAUUUCAUGUUGCAAUAUGUGUUUAUAGCUAUUUGAAUAAAGUGUUAAAGCAGAACAAGAUGGAGGAUAUGAUGCGGUUUGUCGACUCUAAUAAAGUCAAUGCAAUUGGAAAUGGAACUCCCACAGCGAGGUCUCGUGAUCUGUCUAUUAUGUACAAGAAUGGGAAGCCUGGGCAGAUCUAUUUGAUUCCAUAUAACACAGGGUACGUAACAAUGAACUAGAUUUUGUGGGUACAAAUGAUUUAGUGCUUAAGACAAACAUCUGGGAUGACAUUGUAUGUUAUUGCAUAGUCAACACUGGACCUUGACGAUUGUGAACCUGGAAUUGGAAACCGCACGCUAUAUGGAUCCACUGAAAAAGCGUCUGGAUGGAAGUGAAUGGCCUGCUAUUGUCACUGAGUAAGUGUGUGCUAGUUUUCCUAUAUGGUCUAGCCUUUUAGUAUUACUCAUUGAUUUGUUCAGCCAUGAAGAUGCUAACUAUUAUUUUCUCUGUUGGAAGCUCCAUAAAAAUGUACAAAGGCCUACUGAAGAAGCAGCCUGGAAAGAAGAAAGCAUCUCCUUGGAAGCCUCUACUUGUAAGCACUUUAAAAUUUGGUAGUGUAUAAUUUCACAAUAUAAUUUGAUUUUUGUUACUGUUUGAUAAGCCUGAUUCAUAAUUUUCAGGGUGCUCCGAUACAAAAAGAUGAUGUGAGUUGUGGAUAUUACGUCAUGCGCUACAUGAAGGAAAUUGUGGAGGACAACAACAUUGACCUUGAUAAAAAGGUACUGCAAUUUUGUAGAUUAAUCAUGACCUGCUUAUAAGUGAUGGACAUUGGUGAUUAAGUUUUAUGAAUUAGCUAGCUCUUGGAACUAGUAUGUUUAUGUAAAUCCAUAGGAUGGUGAGAUUCAGGAACCAUAUAUAAACUUCAUAUAUACUCUUUAUAUAUACUUGUGUCUUCACAUUUAUGUAUUUAUAUAGAUAAACCUGGCAGUGGAAUGGAUGCGAUUAUAUUCCAACUAUACAUCAGCUAUUUGGUACUCUUUUUUUUUAUUGGCACUUUUUAUAAUGCUGACACUGUUAUUUAGUUAAUUUAUGUAUUUUUCGAUGAUACGUACACUGGAAACUCAUUAUGUAUGCUGCAUUUGCUUUUAGUGGGGAACUAGGGCUGGUCUGACUUACACAGCCGAGGAAAUUGAUGAGAUUCGAGGAGAGUGGGCAGAGCAUGUGCUACAGUUUUCGAACCAGUAAAAUCAGACUUGAUCUUGGUUUAUGGUAGUAUAGCUCAUACAUAGGUGUGCUGCUUUAUUGCAUUUUAACUUUGGAACAUGAUAAAUAGUUAUGACUAAUAUGCCUAUUUUGUGGGUCUGAUGCCAACUAGGUAGCUAAGUUAUUCUAUGUUGAACAAAUUUACUUAUGCGCGCGAACAUAUAUCUUUGUUUAUAUAUGUUGUGUACUUGAAAAUGGCUACAAGGCUUUUGUUUAAUUUAAGUAGUAUGAUCUACAAGUUUAAUGCAGCUUGAUUUCCUUAUGGUUCAUAAUGUGUGAGGUUUGAUUGGCAUAUAUGGUUUAGAAUGCAUAGGUUUUUGUACCAAAUUGAGGCUGUUUUACCAUAUGAACAGUACUUUUUGAGCUAAAACAGACAGGCAACAUCAUGCAACCAAAGGCACAAAUGUGUCGUCUCGUACUAAAUCAAACAACAUAUGUAAACUCCCAAAAAAUAUGAUAAUGUAGUGCAAUUGAGCAUUAGACGACAUAUUUUACAGAAUCAAACUCUAUUAAAAUGUCGACUUAGGGUAGGAAAAACAUACUUGCUAUCCCUCAACCUACAUAUAUAUGUGGUCCAAAUGUCAUGUAACAACAAGAAACAAAAAAAUUGUUGAUGGAUAUAAGCUACCUCAACACAUAUAUGUGGACUGAGAAGGAGUCACAAGAUUAAACUUUUGUAAUUCUUCAAUCAGACGGCAUAUAUAUGUCAAGUAAAGGACCUCGGCACGACAAAAUCAUAACAAACUAUGAUAAUGCUUCAUUCAAUCGACAGUUAACUGUAGUAAUACCAAGUCGAAAAGUAAAAAUAUGUGGUAUGAAUACAAAUGCAACUACAACUAAAUGUCGUAUGACAGAAGCACCAAAAAAAUUUAUAAUAGUUUACAAUGUGAAACGACAGAUAAGUGAGGUUAGAUUUUCUAUAUAACCACAUAUAUCACAAGUUUUUGACGUUGUAAGCUCACACACUCAACACUUAAUUGAAGUGUGAUUUGAUAGAAAAAUCCAAUAAAUCAAAUUAUUCUCCAAUCAGUCCACACUUAUAUGUGGUAGGUAUACAAAACAGACGACAUUUGAUGUGUCUUGUGAUAUGAUAUUAUAGUUUUUUGAUGCUUAUUUAGUCCACACUUAACUGUGGUGUGUUUAUUGAAAUUUUUCAAUCUUCACUCUUCUCAGACGACAUAAGAUGUGUCGUGUGAUAGCGUUUCAGACGACGGCUAUUCUCCGUGGUCUGAUAGACCAUCACUCGACAGCUCCUCAGACGACAUAAAAAAAAUGUCAGACGACAGACUUGGACUGUCGUCUGAUGAUGUAUAUGGCAUAGUGAAUUUUAAGAUAUUUUAGGUGAUAUAUAGAUACAUUUAAACUAUUUAAUCUUUAUUUAAAAAAUAAUAUUAAUGUAAUGCUAGCUAAAAUAGAGAGCAUUGAUACAUACACAUUUCUAAAGUGGCUAGCCAAAAUAACAUUUUAGCUAAUUUGACGAAAAUUUAACUCAAAUAUGGCUAGCAUUGCUAAAGAUGCUCUAAUAGAGUUAAGUUGCUGUUAGUGAGAAGACAGGUGGCGAGGCAUUAUUUGUGGCACAGGUUUGGAACAAGGAAAAACGGGAACAUGUGAUUUACUUCUGAAUUCACAUGUUGUCUAUCGAUUCCGAUUUGGCAUAGAUAUACAUGUUCCAAUUUUAGUAGGAUUUUUUUUUUUUUCCCCCAAGUUUAGUAUGAGCUAUUUUGAUUUUCAAACUUGAAAUUAAAUGUUUUUGGCAUGGUUUCCUUAUAUGCAUUUUUUCCAUAUUUGAUGUGAUGAGCUUAUGGAUCACAUUGUCAAUUCUUUCGCUUGUGCAUCAAGCUUAAGCUGCAUAUACCAAGGCCGCAUGGGCUGAGGCUAUAUGUCUUUCCAUGGCCUGGUUUAUUUUAAUUCUGAUGAUUUUGGGUUUUGUUUUUACUGUAUUCGGUGGAGUUCUCCUUUAUGGUUUUAUUGCUUAAUUACAUGGUUCUUUUUCAAACUGGUGUGUACGACAUGAUUCGUGGACUGGUUUUUGAGACAUUGCGCUACGAUGAGAGUCUUAUUAGGCUGACAGUGUAUUCCGCCAUGUCUACAUGUUUCAAGCAUGUUGGACUACAUUUUUGGAUUCGCUUUUAGUCAAAACUAAUCAUCUAACAUCCAUAUCAUCGGAAAAACUUUUAACAUCCACCUUGUCUCAUCUUUCAAAGAACUAGCUUCUACACAUAUAGUGUUGGAUAAUUGAUGGUGAGGCAAAUUAAUUGUAUUCUCUAGUAUCAAUCUCUUGAAUUUCCUUGUUGCACUUGUUAAGGUCUCCACAUGUGUUUGACAUGCCACUUUUUGGUACAUACAUAUACUUGCACAUAUAAUCUUGGCAAGUUAUUCAAAAAAUUCAUUCAUCAAUUAGCUGAGGAUGUAGAGACUGAUACAUAUUUAUACCACAUCUAAAUUAGACAUCAGAUGAUGAGUUUAUUUUUGUCGAUGUUUCACACAUGCAACACUAUAAGUCAUUAGUAUCACACAACUAAUACUUUUUUAUAAUUUUUUUUUUGGCAGUACUAGUUCAUAAGAGGCAAACAACACAACAAGUGAUUAAAUCAUGGUUCUUUUCUUAAUGUUGACUUUGAAUCAUCCAACAAAUACAAACUAGGAACUGUUAUAGUGAGGAAGUUAUCACCAGUAGGCCUGCUAUUAAUUCUAAUAAUCAGUCUGAUUCUAUUGCUCUAUAUCGUCCCUGCACUCUUCAAGUAUAAAUUGUAAGGCCUCGUUGGUGCAUAAUGUUACGCUCACGUCGAUAUAAAUAUCCUCCAAACGAUAUUUACAUGACAUGAAUGACCUACAUUCUGAGACCCCUCCACAUUCUGAGACCCCUUCGUCAGCUUGUUGUAAAGAGCUAUAUCGUUGGUGCAUAAUGUCAUGCUCACGUCGAUGUAAACCUCCUCCAAACUAUAUUUACAUGGCACGAAAGGAACUACAUUCUGAGACCCGUCCGUUAGCUCGUUGUAAAGAGCUAUAUCAUUGCUCGGCUCCUCACAAUAUAUGCGGUAAAAAUUGAUGUGCUUCAUUGACGACAAAAGCAGCAAAGAAGCACAUGUGAUGUCCGCCCGGCCUAUAAGAUAAAAAUUAAUGAAUUAGUACCAUACAGACAUUUAAGCACUACAGUAUUAAUUUAAAAAAAAAUACAAUGAAAUAAUCUUUUUUUUUUUCUUGAGAAUAUACAAAAUGAAAUCCUCGGAUACAAAAAGAACACAAACCAAAAGUAGCAAACAAUCUAGUUCAUAGUUCAAAGUCAAACUAAUCUUCUUUCAAUUCUUAUUUCGAGAGUAAUGAUGUUGUUGUUGUUUGUAUUAAUUCUUCCAAUAUUUAAAGUUUGACAUAUCUUCCUUCCAAUUCUUCUAAUAACGGAAGUCCAUAGUUUAGAUGUUUGAUUGCUUAGAAAAAAAAUAUAUGAAGAACGACUAUUAUGCUAGCACAUCUAGAAAACAAAUUGACGGACUGGGUUGAUACGUUAAUUUAUUCUAGAAAGUUUUUGAGUUGGUAGCUUGGAGGGGGUUAAAUAUUGGAAAGUUAUUCGAUAUGAGCAUGUGUGCUUCGUAUAUAUCAUUAUGAUAAACACAUUUGUUCAUGUAGAUGAAUGUGUAUUCCGAGAAAACAUUAACAAAAACAACAAAAGGUAACAUUUUUUUUCUUCUAAAAAACUAACUUCAGGUAUUACAAAAAAAAAAAAAAAAAAAAAAUACUAACUUCAAGUGGUAUGCUAACAAUGAACAAACCGGAUUUAUAAAGUUCGUCUUCAAACUCUUUCAAGCCAAGCGUGCCUACAAUCCAAAUAGAAAUCACAUUAAUUGGUUUCAUUUUUUUCUCCUCAGUCACGUUAUCUUUUAUAUAAUCAUAUAUACGUGAGCUUGCAUCUACAUAUCCAGUAAGUGUCGGGACUACACGUGAACUCUUGUCGUGUGAAUCCGACGGUACACACGUAAAAUUUACAAAGAAAAAAAAAAGAAACUGCUAAGGUGCAACGAGUGUUGGAGCCAAGAAUAACUCAAUCUUUCAUAACUCAAGCAAUAGUUUUUUUACAAAAAAAAUGGCAGAAAGGGAAAAAAAAUAACAUCUGGAAUAGGAGGAAAAGGGCAAGGUCUGACUCUUCAAUCUGUAUUAGAUUAAUUUUUCAUGAAACGAUAGCUACACUGAUCAACAAAAUUAGAGGAAAUCCUCAUCCUAAUAACUGUACAAUUAUCUAAUGAACAAGGUGCAGUGCAACAUGUAUCAGGAGAAUAUGCAUAGACAUACAUGGAGUGAUGGCUAUCACAGUAUAUCUGAUCACAAUAUCAAGUAUUUCUGUGGUUUUUAAAUCAUGAACAUAAUGUUUGUGGUUUUUAAAUACAAAUUAAGACCUUAUGUGAUGUUAGGUAAAACUCAUGUAGCAUGUCAUGAGGGAGUUCAAACUCCCAUUCAUCAUCAUAAAAUAUGAAAGAUUACUUAGUCUGAUAAAAUGAACUAAUUGAGUAGACGAUUCCCCUCUCCCUCUUUGUCGUCUCUUUUUUUCUAUAUUGUUAUCGCUCCCUCUGCAAAUUGACCUUUUGGCCAACAAAUCUUUGUUGCUCCAAAGAUAUAAUCUUUAGUCUUUUGUCACUUUUCAAUCCUGCUCUCAAAUUGCACGUUUUGUUUUAUAGGAUUGAGGAUCGUUAAUCGGAUUAAGAGUCAGAAUAUUGUAUAUAAUCUGAAGAUCUAGGUCUGGCUUCAAGGAUUCCAGAAGAGAAAUCUAAUAAGAAUGCACAUUCUGGAACUAAAGGGCCUGCUGCUGGAAAUACUAUUGGAUUCCAGCUACGUGAAGAGUGGAAGAAUGUGGUUUUCUUGCAAAGAGUGGAGUUGUCAAGGAGAACAAGAAAAAAGCUGGGAAGAAGAAAGUGCAGAUUACAGAGGGUGUACUCUUUGUGAUCAAGGAGAUUAAAGAUUCAAAGAUCAAGUCUGCAACUGAUGGUGGAUUCACACUCCAAGAAGAGUGGAAGAAGGUUACCACUGAGGUUGUUGAAAAGAGUGGAGCUAUUAAGGAAAAUGAGGAAGAGGCCUCGAAGAAGCUAGAAAGCUGAGAUUAAAAUGGGUGUGUUGUCUGUCAUCAAGGAACUGGAAAUGAAGGCUGAAAACAAGUAGUAAUUGAGAGAUAAGGAUCUGAAAUCGAUUAAUAGUAGUCAAAAUGAAAUUUGGAACAAAUAUACUUUAAUUCGGUGAAUAGAAUAAAUAUUUUUGAAAAAGAAAAAAAACUAAUGAAGUAGACACAUGACAUCUUUUCCCCUUAAAGGGGUAAUGAAAAACUUCACAUGACUCCUUUAUACCAAGGUUCGUUAUGCUUCCAAUUUGUGUUACUAAUCAUUUUGCAAGUUAUUGAGUGGGAGUAUUGUUUCCCGGCCUUUUAUAAUAUCCUUUGUAUCAGCUGAUUAAAAAGAUUUAAAAUAGUUUUACUAUGAAAAAACUGCUUAGUUCUUUCUACAUCUUAGUUCUUAUAGUUUUGCAAGUGAUGCAUUUCUUGUUACCAACUUUAUUUGUAGAUUUCAGGCAACAGCACAAUUUCAUUAGCAUAUGUAGAUUUAUUUGACAUUGAACACCUAAUAUGAGUUCUCUGAUAAAACAAGUUUGUUGCGGUUACAUUACUUAGUCUCUAUGAACCAAUGAAUAGUAAAGCAAUCCCCUGCAUAUUUUAUGCCACUACUUUGAUCUUUUUGGUUUUUUAAAUCCAAAUUACAAAUUAUGACUGAUGUUGUAGAAAGUAUGGAGAGUUGGAAUUACAAGCGGUGAACCACAAAUAAUGGAAAAUAAUUUACAUUGGUAGCUUGGAGAGGGUUAAAUAUUGAAAAGUUAUUCGAUAUGAGGAUGCAUUGUUGUUGUAGAUGAAUGUGUAUUUGAGGAGAACUUUGUUGAAUUCUUCAUUAGUCAUAACAAAGAGUUCGAUUACAAUAACCUAAUGAUGGAAUAUUUCAUAUACAUCAAAUUUUUAAAAGAUAAACUGAACAAUUUUCUUAUAAUAUCUUUUUUUUUUUUUUUUUUUUAGUAAUUCUUGUAAUAUCUUUCUAUUUUAUCUAAUGUUCUUAAAACGAAAUUACGGCCGUGUGCAACGGCGUUUGCUCUGUGUCGAACUUGUUUCGAGAAAACAUUAACAACAACAAAAAACAACAUUUUUUUCUUCUAAAAAACUAACCUCAGGUCCUAUGCUGACAAUGAACAAACGGGGUUUAUCAAUGACAUCUCCAACAACCCUACCCAAAACUUAUACCCAAACUCAUUUUUUGACUCACCUAAACCUAUUACUAUUCAAACUCAUAUUUCAUCAUUAACCAUUAUGUCCAAACCCAUACCCAUACCCCAAUUUUAAUCAUUUCAUAUAAUUAUUUAACAACACAUAUAUUAUAUAAAUCAUACAUAAUAAAUUUUGGAGUGAAAAACUAUGAAAAAAAUGGAUGGUUAUAGAUAUUGUUUCAAAUGUUCCGACGGGCAAAAAUAUAUUUUUGAUUUUCUGAAUUUUUUAUCUUAUUUUGAAGUUAUAUUUCCUUCAAAAAUGUAAUUUUUAAUUAUAAACCGUUCAUUUAAUACAACAAAUAUUUAGACCUGUCAAAUUAGGAAUUAUGUAAUUAUAUAUGAUUUUUCCUAUUUAAUUAUGAAUUGAUCUCAACCUUCUGUUUCAAACUAAACACAAUCUCAACCAUCCAUUUUGUUACUGUUAGAAUCUAACAACAACACCACCACGUGUGUGGACCCAGUUUUCUGACGCAAAAAACGAAUGGACAACGCGUCCUUGUCAUCCGGCAAGAGUGCCGUCAUCGGCGCCAGACAGUGGAGAACGGAGAGACGUUCGCACUUUAAGGGCGGUGCGGACGUCCGUCUCUUAUCCGGUCUGAUAUAUAUAUAUAUAUAUAUAUAUAUAUAUAUAUAUAUAUAUAUAUAUAUAAUAAUAAUAAUAUACAAAAUAAAGUCUCAUAAUGUAUAAUAAGUGUCGGAGUCGAGAAUAACACAAUCUUUCAUAGCCCAAGCAAUAUUUGUUGUGCCUUCACUACUAGCUAAUUAACUAUGUCCUCAUUGAUGUUAUUAGAGAUGGAAUUUGUGCCUACAGAGUUGAAAAAUCACUGAUGAGCUUGCAAAACAAAAGCUAAAAGCUCAUCAGUAAUUUUUUUGAUAAAACUUUCGAUGCAGAUGAAGACUGUUCUUUAUGCACUUCAAAAUUUAUUCAGAAACUUAGAAUAUUCAAGCAAAAGAAGAUGAGGAGGCAAAGAGAGGUGAGAAAUUCAAGUAUUGUGUGGAAAUGUAUUUGGUAGUUUUUGAAAACGGUUUUCAAAAAAUAGUUAUUAAAAAUAAAAAUGAGAAAAUGACUUUUAAAAAAAAAGAAAAUGAGAUUGGAAUUAUCAAUUUUAAAAAUGUAUUUGGUAAUUUAUUGUGUACAAUAUCUUCCAUAUUUCCAUGUAUUCGGUAAAAUGAAUCGUGCUCUAUUGAUUAAGGGUGACUUAGAGAUUUGCAAUUUUUCUAUUCAAUAGAGCAAGAUUCAUUUUUCUUAUUCAGACACCCUCCUUUUUUUUUUUUGUUAUUGAAGAUCAUCAAGGCAAUUUCAUUACUCAUUCUUAAAAAAAAAAACAAGACAAUUUCAUUAUUCAAGCCAAAUGACACGAAUACAUAACUUUCCCUGUUUAUUUCUAAAGAAAGAAAAAGUGAACCUAAUUGUAUAUGGCCUAAGAAAUAAAAAACAUAUGAACUUCGAUAAUUUUCUACAAACCCAUCGCAAUUGUGACCAGUACAAGUUGCUCAUCCUCCUCCAUGCGACCAUGCAUGUUAUACCGUUAUUCUUGCUCCAUUUUCAUAAAUAUGAGAAAUGGACAAAGCAGUACUAGCUACUUGGAUUAUUAAUCCACCUUCUUGCUGUAUUUCUUCCAUCUCGAUCUUCCAGUUUCUCCUGUUAUCCUUUAAGCCGUUUCUUCAGCAAACUGAUCCGCAAUUCAGUCGAUGAAAAGCUCUCAAAUAACCUAUCACUCCUACACUGUAUUUCCUGAUGCCAUUGGAAUACAUCACGAGAUCCACUCUUAGGUCUUAACCUCGCCUAAUUUUUUCUCGUUAAUUUCUUCACCCUUCCCUUGCCAAUUGGCAUUGGUUACCAUGCUGAUUAUCAUAAACAGAAGAAACUGGAGGAGGUGGAUGAAUCAAGCGUUUAACUCCACCUCUUCAAGUUCCCUUUGUUUAUAACGACAUUUGUAGGGUUCUUAGCAAGUAUAGAAUGAAAAAUACAAUUCAUAACUUAAUUAUCUGUUGCAUCGAUCCUCAGUGUCUCCAACAUAUUGAAGUCAAAUUAGAGGAGGCCCUUCAGAUUUGGAGCUACUCCUCUUGCGAAAGACACACAGAAUAGGAUCCAAAGCUCACUCUCUUUGAUGGCAUCUAGCACUGUGCCAAUAGAUCCAACUAUCAGCAGAUAAUAAAAACAAGGUCCACGUUGUUCUUUUCUGUGCUAAAUAUUUGUGGAUCGGGUAGCUUCUUCAGAUAACUGGCCUCAUUUGCAGUAGCCGUUUAUCACAAUGAAACGCAUAAUGAUAUUAUAACAGCGAUUACAUAUAUUAAAUUUCUAGUCAAUCUGUCAAUAUUAGAAGAAAUUAAGGAACAAGAAACGGUAUAGAACUAUUCAUAUUUUUAUAAGUAUGCAUAAAUUGAACAUUGUUUUAACUGUAGGAUAACUUGUAUAUUGUAGCCAACUAGCCAUGAUCAAGCUUCAAGACCCAAUCAACAGAUUUUGCCUCGUUUAUUAAUCAUAUACACCUAUACAUAGCUGAAUGAAUUGAAGAAAAAAAAAGUGUUUAUACUUAAUAGUAAUAUUAUACAUGAAUAUCAAGCUACAAUGAUACGAAUACAGUGGAAACUUUACACAAAGAUCUUAAAGAUGCUAUAUAAAGCAGGAAAUCAAGCUUUCAUAUACUGGUGCAUCUCUUUUUCUUACCCCUAGAGUUAAUAGGAGAUUCAAAGCAUGAGUGAAAGAAGGACUCUACCUCUUCACCCCUCGAGCUUUCAAAGAAGUCAGGGAAUUCCAAUUUUCUCUUAUGCAAGAAAACUCGUCCUCGCUUCUUUCGCGGUGUGGCUGGGCAGCUCUGAAUGGCAGGUAUUCUGUGAUCAAGAGAGGUAGGUGUUCGACAUAACGAUGAGUACUCUUCCAGCUGCUUAUCAUUUGAUCCCUGAGUAAUCGCUUCAAUACCAUCUUCUUCCUCGAGACAUUUCGGGGGUUGUUCUUGAAAUUGUGAUGAAACUUGGUGAUCAGAUGUCUGAUCAAUACCUUUAUUAGACAUGGAGAUGGACAGUUGGAAUGGACUAUAGCUAGCUAGUUGUUGGAGAAAGAGGUGGGAGUAGUAAGUAGUAGUUGAAUUGUAGAAAAAUGAGGAGAAAAUUAGACAAUUUGGAGUUUUGUAUCUUAUGUUCUGAUAGCUAAGCACCUUCUUGGAUUGUAUUUUUCUCUGCAGAAACAUGAAAACAGUCAUAAAUAUUAUAGCAAACUAAAAAAGGAUCCAAAGACGAACCUCGUUUAGAAUAUUUCUUAUAUCUAAAACCAUUGCAUACGGUUCUGCAUCUAGAUUACUGGAGUACAGAUUCAAAUUUCGACUUAGAUUGCUGAAGUACAUGAUCAUGUGAAACCGAAAAAUCCGAAGCUCGCCGAUUUGUUUAUAAAAUGUUGCGACUAAUUCAGGUAAUAUUCAACGUAAAUCUCAUUAUUUUCUUACAUCAAUCAUUGGUGUUCAAUGAAGGAUCUGAUGGAGACUAAUUGUUAAUAAAAGAAACUUGCGUUUGAACUUAUAUCAAUCAUUCGGUAAUCAAACUUAGAGAUGAGUACGUUGUUUAUAUCGUUUUGGAAACAGUAAUAUUUGGCCCUACAUAUCCUACCGUCUCCUCUUUAGAUUUUCUUAUCAAAACUCUUCUGUAUAUCACUGUCUUCCUCUCCCAGUUGUCUGUAUCUUGAAAACGUUCUUAUCAGCAGCAUUGGAUCCCAACUUGGACGUUGGAAUGUAACUUCACAGUUCACACUGGACGCUGACACAGAAUAUUGAAUCUCUCAUGCAACUAUUUUAAUUCCUCGAUCAAUCGUCUAUUAAUUUGUAUACAUCCAUAUGUAAUCGGUGUGCUUAUUCAGGUCAUGUAGUAGGUACUUCAUAUCAAAAGGAAUGUGCAUGUAAGUUUAAAAGGGACGCUUGCAGAGGACGGCAACCAACUGAAAUGGCAUGGGAGUAAGUACGUUGUUUAGAUAUUAAGGCUAGGCUACCAUGGAGCAAUUUCCACUUUUGUUCUCAUUUCAAAGUACUUGUUUCCUUCGUGGCCCGUGGAUCACAUUGUACCGAUAUUGUCCUAACUUAACCACCUUUAAAGUGUUGGGUUUUAAUCACAAAAGACCUCGGUACAAUUUGAUAUAAUCUAUCCACUUAUAAGUUAUAUUUUAUUUAUCCAUUUUAUGAUGUGGGAUCUUUCCUCUCUAACAAAAAUGGCUUCUCGUCCUUCAAUUCAUCCAAAUAUAAGCAAUAAAGCAAACAUAACAACUCAAAGGACAAUGAUCGAGCCCCCCAACUGAUGUACACUACUAGGUCACAACUAGAAGCAAACUGAUCAUCGAGCACCAACUCAAAGCAAAACUGAGGAGCACAAUCUAACAGAAAAAUGUUGAAGAUGCGUAUUCGCAUGCAUAUUGAUAUGGGUUUAUUCAAAUGACCCCAACCUUUCUAAGCGAUAAACAAGUCUAAUUAAUUGAACUACUAUAUAGUCACCCACUCUUUGAUGUAGGACUUAUUUCGCUUUGUAUUGCAGGUCCUUUUUACGUUCUUAAUUGCAUCGAACCACAAAGUCCGAACAAUCUCCUCUUAAAACCUGCAAUAACGUACAAUACAUGCAAUUGACAUGCAUUUUUGCUGGAAAUAAGAGUCUCAUGUAGAUGAUAAAUUAAGCUCAAUGCUUCAACAAAUAUCACAAACAUAGUCUACUGCACGUACGUUCUUACUGAACAUCAGACGGAAAAUUAACUAAAAAUCAAACGAGAACUGUCUAGAACGAUUACAGAGAUUUACUUGAGACACAUGGCGUUCAACACACAAAAUUUGGUGCUUUUUUUUUUUUGAGCUCUUUUGCUAUGUAAAUAAAAUGCGUAAAGAAAGAUCGAGGACAAAAAGGUAAGAAAACUGAUCAAUUACAAAGAUAAUAAAGCUAGAUACAGAGGAAGUAUUCACCCCUCAUGAUCACACAUAAGAUCAUUUUGUUGAUUUGUGGCUUAAAUUAAUACAAGCCAUCAAUUCAAGUAAGUCUAUAUAAUUAACCUGAUCCUGUUAAGAUAGGGUUUUGUCUAUGCACUAUAAAAUGUCUACGGUGUUUGAAAAACGCUAUUAAAUAUCUUUCAUGACGUUUUUAAACGCCAUCCCCCAACGCCGUCUAAAGUGGCGCCGUGCUUUUUGUGGCUUUUUGAAAAACGCCGUAAAAAAGAUUCAAUGGCGUUUCAAAAACGCCAUUAAAAAUCUUUCAACGACGUUUCAAAAACGCCAUUAAACUCGUGGCGUUUUGUAAACGUCAUAAAAAACAAUUCCAUGACGUUUCAAAAACGCCAUGAAUUCUUUUACAUCUUUUAAAAAAAAUUAUACCAUAUGUAGAAAAUCAAUUACUCUGUUAGCAAAAAAUGCACACAUCACAAUCAGAAAAGUGUAGUGCUUACAUUUGAACAAACAAAAGAGAUACUCAUCUACAAUAUUCCAUUGAAGAAUCUGAAAUACUUUAUACAUCAUACUAUAGAAAAUUUAAGCACUCCAUCAGAAAUUUGAUUGUGGAGCUUAUACAUUAUAUAUCAUACUACACAAAAAUUCAAGCACUGCAUCACAAAUUUGAUUACGGAGCUUAUUGGGGUGUCCCUCACAGACUCGAAGGGAAAGAGGAAAUUGUCCAUUUUCUGAAGCUGCAAGAUUAAUGAAGUUCUGAUAUCAGUAAUAUCAACUAAAUAGAACCUCAUUGCCGGUAAAGCGUAAAAUAUUAGAAGGCCAAAUCUUUCAGAAAAUACUGCCAGGUAAAAACUGUUACAUUUAUGAAGUAACUAUCAAACACUACUGAACUAGAAAAGAAUAACAACAACGUCUGCGCUUGAAAAAAUAAAAAUGUUAGCUCGAUAUACAUUGUUAACUUAUUUUCUGAUCUCGUAUUACUGGUUUGGUUAUAAGAGGUCUGAUCAUGUGAGUUUGAAACCUAAUUCAAGACCACAGAACAUGCAUGAGCUAACAUUCUCACUUAAAAUAUAUAAGAUGGGAGACUUACAUUUGAAGACCUGUUUGAUGGUGUUGAAUAUGGAUGUAAAGACCUCUAUGUGGGUGAAAAUGCCUGCUGGUCCAGCCUACAUGAAAAUGCAAAUUAAGUGUACUUGACAGUAAUAAGUUCUCAAUUCGAAAAUGGUAAAAACAAGUUGACAAUAUUACAUGCUUGUACCUGGGUCACAAAAAUGCCACCAUGAUUAAGCUUGGGUUUGAGGACUUUCUCAUAGAAGGAUUUUGUGUAAAGCUGAUAGCAAGGCCCUCCUUCAACUGGUUCUGCUAAAUGUCCCACUAUAAUAUCGAAUUCUUCGCGGCUCUUAUUCUAGUCAGCCCUUUCAUAUAUAGCAAACAUUUCUGUAAGUUAUACACUCGUAGUCACAACCAUAGAAAAAUCUUUUAUAUGAGCAUUAUACCAAAUAAGUUCAGACCAACAAUGUGUGAGGUAGUGAUUACAGAUUGAAUCCCACCAGUAAACAAAAUAGAGCUUUGAACUUUCUUGGCAUCAUUGAAAACAAGGUUAAGCUUAUUGUGAGCAAAGGCCUCCUUGUUCACUGUCAAAUGGCACAAUAUUUUUCUUGUUAUUCAUAGGAAGUAGUUAUAUACAAGACAUGAACAAGUGUAAGUGCUACUAGCUAGUUGAAAGUAACACAUAUGGCUCAUGGGAAAGACAUUAUUGAAUUCAACGAAAAUGUAAGAUAACUUGAUUCGAGCAUAUAUAUUGUGCUGAUUAGUAACCUAAUCUAUAUCACACAUAACCACUUUUUCAAGUAAUUUGUGCUUAAGAGCUUCUCUUGCAGCUGACACUUCCCCACCUCCCAUAAUGAACACAUUCUUAGGCCUGCAGAAUUAUAUAUAAAAGUACAUACAUAUUAGAUAUGGAGUAUUAACAAAUGGAAAUGGAACGCAACAUUAGUAAUAUAGACGACGGACUUUGGGUGAGAUAAAAGGGCACGAUGUAUUAAGCAUUCACGAUACAUAAACUCGUCCACUUCUGCACUCUGCAUCUUCCCAUCAAUCACCAAUACCUGCAGGUACAAUUAUUAUCGGUAUGUGUGUGUGUGUAUAUAUAUAUAUAAUUAUGAAGCUGUACUCUUAAAAGAAAAUUCGUGUGAUAAUCAACCUUCAUCCAUUCAUAAUGUUAAGCAAAUUACUAAGUAAAACAUGCAAACCUUGCCAUAAAGUCUCCGGCUUCGCCACAAAACCCUACAAAGUACAAACACACAACAAACCCAAAAUCAGACUCACAAAACCCAAAAUCUGGGAAUUUCCCAAACACUCACAUGGGGAUGAUUCUGCUCGGCGAGACGACCACGAGCAAUUCCUCUGGACAUGCCUCCUCUCUUGUUCUAAGGGUUUUCCUACUCUCUCUCUCUCUCNNNNNNNNNNNNNNNNNNNNNNNNNNNNNNNNNNNNNNNNNNNNNNNNNNNNNNNNNNNNNNNNNNNNNNNNNNNNNNNNNNNNNNNNNNNNNNNNNUCUCUCUCUCUCUCUCUCUCUCUCUCUCUCUCUCUCUCUCUCUCUCUCUCUCUCUCUCUCUCUCUCUCUCUCUCUCUCUGCCCAAACUGACCUCGGAAUCGCCGGCGCCAACGGGUUUAUCAAUGGCUUAUGGCUCGCCAUCUUCGUUGCGGUACCUGAAAGCAAUAACGGUGAGGAUUGUGAGAAAUUGGUAUCGGGGAAAAGAUGAAACCCUAACCCUGAUUCAAAGAGGCGUAAGGAUCGUCUUCUUAAGCCAUGGUGCGGACGCGAUCUACGAUUUGGACGAAAGGAUUUGGCAUGUGGAUCUACGAUUUGGACGAGAGGAUUUGGCAUGUGGGUAUAGAGGAUUUUGGCUUGGGAUUAAGAAGGAAUGGAGCGGGAUUUGAGCCAAUCAAAGGAGAAGGAUGCGGAAGACUGUUAGGGCAGUGACCCUUGCUGAAAGUUUAAGAGAAAAACUAGCUAAAGAGAAUAAAGAAAGACUGGAAAGCACUGAUAAUAUUCCUCUUCCCUACUGGGUUUACAACUCUGUCGAUUUAUACUACAGCUCCUCACAUGAACAGAGCCACAUGGCGGCCGGGUAGUGGCUCUCUACUAAUGCAAUCCUAAUUACUCUUAACUUCCUAAUUCAUGCUUAAUUAACUGAAACAGACUCUGAAGCCAACACGUGCACUGCACCUGCUAGAGACUACUACGACUUCUACCCCAACUUGGAACAGACAUAUUCACUGAACUGGGAUCAUAACAAUCCAUCCCUGCCAAAACAAGCUUGUCCUCAAGCAUAUAUCAAGNNNNNNNNNNNNNNNNNNNNGCUGCCGGAUCUCCUCAGCAAUCGAAGAUCUGAAAUCUGCUAGAGUAGAUCUCAUGUCGCUGUGCAUAGCAUCGAGACGAGCACUUGUCUCGUCUCUAUGGCUCUGUAAUUCCAUCUCCAAAUGAACUAGUUCACCGGACACCUCAGGUUCAUCUGGAUCGGGCUGCUUAGCCACCUGCAAUUUCGCCAUGAUCGACGAGGCUGCUGAUACCACUUGUUAGGGCAGUGACCCUUGCUGAAAGUUUAAGAGAAAAACUAGCUAAAGAGAAUAAAGAAAGACUGGAAAGCACUGAUAAUAUUCCUCUUCCCUACUGGGUUUACAACUCUGUCGAUUUAUACUACAGCUCCUCACAUGAACAGAGCCACAUGGCGGCCGGGUAGUGGCUCUCUACUAAUGCAAUCCUAAUUACUCUUAACUUCCUAAUUCAUGCUUAAUUAACUGAAACAGACUCUGAAGCCAACACGUGCACUGCACCUGCUAGAGACUACUACGACUUCUACCCCAACUUGGAACAGACAUAUUCACUGAACUGGGAUCAUAAC